rnacentral:rRNA from 1 species
AGAGUUUGAUCAUGGCUCAGGAUGGACGCUAGCUACAGGCUUAACACAUGCAAGUCGAGGGGAAACGACAUCGAAAGCUUGCUUUUGAUGGGCGUCGACCGGCGCACGGGUGAGUAACGCGUAUCCAACCUGCCCACCACUUGGGGAUAACCUUGCGAAAGUAAGACUAAUACCCAAUGACGUCUCUAGCAGACAUCUGAAAGGGAUUAAAGAUUUAUCGGUGAUGGAUGGGGAUGCGUCUGAUUAGCUUGUUGGCGGGGUAACGGCCACCAAGGCUACGAUCAGUAGGGGUUCUGAGAGGAAGGUCCCCCACAUUGGAACUGAGACACGGUCCAAACUCCUACGGGUGGCA